CCUACGGGGUGCUGCAGUGGGGAAUAUUGGACAAUGGGCGAAAGCCUGAUCCAGCCAUGCCGCGUGUGUGAAGAAGGCCUUCGGGUUGUAAAGCACUUUCAGUGGGGAAGAAAGCCUUGGGGCUAAUACCCUCGAGGAAGGACAUCACCCACAGAAGAAGCACCGGCUAACUCCGUGCCAGCAGCAGCGGUAAUACGGAGGGUGCGAGCGUUAAUCGGAAUUACUGGGCGUAAAGCGCGCGUAGGCGGUCUGAUAAGCCGGUUGUGAAAGCCCCGGGCUCAACCUGGGAACGGCAUCCGGAACUGUCAGGCUAGAGUGCAGGAGAGGAAGGUAGAAUUCCCGGUGUAGCGGUGAAAUGCGUAGAGAUCGGGAGGAAUACCAGUGGCGAAGGCGGCCUUCUGGACUGACACUGACGCUGAGGUGCGAAAGCGUGGGUAGCAAACAGGAUUAGAUACCCUAGUAGUC
rnacentral:rRNA from 1 species